rnacentral:rRNA from 1 species
AUACGUAGGGGACAAGCGUUAUCCGGAUUUACUGGGUGUAAAGGGAGCGUAGGCGGCCAGCCAAGUCAGAAGUGAAAUCCCACGGCUCAACUGUGGGCGUGCUUUUGAAACUGGAGGGCUUGAGUACUGGCGGGGCAAGCGGAAUUCCUGGUGUAGCGGUGAAAUGCAUAGAUAUCAGGAAGAACACCGGAGGCGAAGGCGGCUUGCUGGACAGAGACUGACGCUGAGGCUCGAAGGCGUGGGGAGCAAACAGGAUUAGAUUCCCUGGUAGUCCACGCGGUAAACGAUGAAUGCUAGGAAUUGGGCUCCGUAGGGGCUCGGUGCCGCAGUUAACGCAAUAAGCAUCCCACCUGGGGAGUACGGUCGCAAGAAUUAAACUCAAAGGAAUUGGCGGGG